UAGGGAAUCUUCCGCAAUGUGCGAAAGCUUGACGGAGCAACGCCGCGUGAGUGAUGAAGGUCUUCGGAACGUAAAACUCUGUUAUUAGGGAAGAACAAAUGUGUAAGUAACUAUGCACGUCUUGACGGUACCUAAUCAGAAAGCCCCGGCUAACUACGUGCCAGCAGCCGCGGUAAUACGUAGGUGGCAAGCGUUAUCCGGAAUUAUUGGGCGUAAAGCGCGCGUAGGCGGUUUUUUAAGUCUGAUGUGAAAGCCCACGGCUCAACCGUGGAGAGUCAUUGGAAGCUGGAUAAAUUGAGUGCAGAAGAGGAAAGUGGAAUUCCUUGUGGAGCGGUGAAAUGAGCAGAGAUAUGGAGGAACACCAGUGGCGAAGGCGACUUUCUGGACUGUAACUGAAGCUGAUGUGCGAAAGCGGGGGGAUCAAACAGG
rnacentral:rRNA from 1 species